AGAUUGAACGCUGGCGGCAUGCCUUACACAUGCAAGUCGAACGCGAAAGGGGGAGCAAUCCCCUUAGUAGAGUGGCGAACGGGUGAGUAAUACAUCGGAACGUGUCCAGUAGCGGGGGGAUAACCUCUCGAAAGAGAGGCUAAUACCGCAUACGACCUACGGGUGAAAGGGGGGGAUCGCAAGACCUCCCACUAUUGGAGCGGCCGAUGUCGGAUCAGCUAGUUGGCGGGGUGAAAGCCCACCAAGGCGACGAUCCGUAGCUGGUCUGAGAGGACGGCCAGCCACACUGGAACUGAGACACGGUCCAGACUCCUACGGGAGGCAGCAGUGGGGAAUUUGGACAAUGGGCGAAAGCCUGAUCCAGCCAUGCCGCGUGAGUGAAGAAGGCCUUCGGGUUGUAAAGCUCUUUCGGCGGGACGAAAGGUCCGUGUUAACACCACGGACUCCAUGACGGUACCCGCAGAAGAAGCGACCGCUAACUACGUGCCAGCAGCCGC
rnacentral:rRNA from 1 species